rnacentral:rRNA from 1 species
GACGAACGCUGGCGGCGUGCCUAAUACAUGCAAGUCGAACGAACCGCGACUAGGUGCUUGCACUUGGUCAAGGUGAGUGGCGAACGGGUGAGUAACACGUGGGUAACCUACCUCAUAGUGGGGGAUAACAGUCGGAAACGACUGCUAAUACCGCAUAGGACAUAGGAUCACAUGAUCCAGUGAGGAAAGGUGGCGCAAGCUAUCGCUACGAGAUGGACCCGCGGUGCAUUAGCUAGUUGGUAGGGUAAAGGCCUACCAAGGCGAUGAUGCAUAGCCGACCUGAGAGGGUGAUCGGCCACAUUGGGACUGAGACACGGCCCAAACUCCUACGGGAGGCAGCAGUAGGGAAUCUUCCGCAAUGGACGCAAGUCUGACGGAGCAACGCCGCGUGAGUGAAGAAGGUCUUCGGAUCGUAAAGCUCUGUUGUUAGAGAAGAACAGCGCAUAGAGUAACUGUUAUGCGUGUGACGGUAUCUAACCAGAAAGCCACGGCUAACUACGUG